GUCCACGCCCUAAACGAUGCUUACUAGCUGUUUGGAAGAAAUUCUGGGCGGCCAAGCGAAAGCGAUAAGUAAGCCACCUGGGGAGUACGCCCGCAAGGGUGAAACUCAAAGGAAUUGACGGGGUCCGCACAAGCGGUGGAGCAUGUGGUUUAAUUCGAUGAUACGCGAGGAACCUUACCUGGGCUAGAAUGCAGGGGGAAUGAUGUUGAAAGGCGUCAGUCCGUCAAAAGACCGCCUGCAAGGUGCUGCAUGGCUGUCGU
rnacentral:rRNA from 1 species